AGCAGCCGCGGUAAUUCCAGCUCCAAUAGCGUAUAUUUAAGUUGUUGCAGUUAAAAAGCCGUAGUUGGACUGUUACUUUGAAAAAAUUAGAGUGUUCAAAGCAGGCCUUUGCUCGAAUCGUUAGCAUGGAAUAAUAGAAUAGGACGUGCGGUCCUAUUUUGUUGGUUUCUAGGACCGCGUAAUGAUUAAUAGGGACAGUCGGGGGCAUCAGUAUUCAAUUGUCAGAGGUGAAAUUCUGGAUUUAUUGAAGACUAACUACUGCGAAAAGC
rnacentral:rRNA from 1 species